UACGGAGGGUGCAAGCGUUGCUCGGAAUCACUGGGCGGAAAGCGUGCGCAGGCGGUUUUGUAAGCCAGAUGUGAAAUCCCCGGGCUUAACCUGGGAAUGGCAUUUGGGACUGCAAGGCUCGAGUGCGGCAGAGGAGACUGGAAUUCCUGGUGUAGCAGUGAAAUGCGUAGAUAUCAGGAGGAACACCGAUGGCGAAGGCAGGUCUCUGGGCUGACACUGACGCUCAUGCACGAAAGCGUGGGGAGCAAACAGG
rnacentral:rRNA from 1 species